UACGUAGGGUGCAAGCGUUAAUCGGAAUUACUGGGCGUAAAGCGUGCGCAGGCGGUUAUGCAAGACAGAUGUGAAAUCCCCGGGCUUAACCUGGGAAUGGCGAUGGAGACUGCGAGGCUAGAGUUUGGCAGAGGGGGGUAGAAUUCCACGUGUAGCAGUGAAAUGCGUAGAGAUGUGGAGGAACACCGAUGGCGAAGGCAGCCCCCUGGGUCAAAACUGACGCUCAUGCACGAAAGCGUGGGGAGCAAACAGG
rnacentral:rRNA from 1 species